rnacentral:tRNA from 1 species
GGGCAUGUAGCUUAAAGGUAAAGCGCGCAACUUCUAAUUGUUAUAUGGGAGUUCAAUUCUCCUUAUGUCCA